rnacentral:lncRNA from 1 species
CCGUAUCAAGUUUUGGCACUGUUGCCGGGGAAAGGUGUUUAUUUUAUUUUUUUACUUUUUUUGUAAAUUUUCAUGUACCUUCCUUUUUUUAAAUUCUAUUCUAUCUACAAAAUCUUUCAGAAUUUCAGUUUUGCCCCAAAGAUCUUUGCUUCAGGCCCAUUCUUCUCAUAAUUGCAGUUUGACCACAAAUUAUAGAAAAAUUUUUAAUAGGUCUCUUGCCAAAAUUUCCCAUAAUACUCAAACUUGGACCUACAACUUGAACUUCUUUUGACCAUAUUUAGACUUUUUUGGACCUUAUUUGGACUCAAUAAAAAGGACAUUGACUUUAAAAAUUACUACGAAGGCCCAUUAAUUUGAAUUAAUCACUUAAUUGGUUGGUAAUUUUUAAAAUUUGAAAAAACGAAAAUGAGUCUACACUUUGAGAUAAUUAUUUCUUUUCUUUCUUUCUUUUUUUAUUUCUGUAAUUUAAUUUACGCAUUUAUUUUAUUUUUCUAUUUGGCAUUUACUUUGUUUAUAUGUUUGGUUUAUCGCCUAUUUAGUUAUUUUAAUUUCAGUUAAUUAAUUUUCAGUUUAUUUAUUUUUAUUUUACAUUUUUUUGUACAUUUAUCUUGUUUAUUUAAUUUUCAUUUUGUUUUUAAUUUGUGUAAUUUUCAUUUUUUUACGUUAUUCAUUUGUUUGUGUAUCACCUUUACAACAUAAUUUCACACACACACGUCAUCAUCAUCCUUGCAUGAGACGUUGGUCUCGAACUUCAAGUGGCAGGUUAAUUCGUAUAUCUCAAUCACCGUCACCAAUCAUAGACGAGAUCCAACACGAAAACAUUUUGGGCCAACUUAAUCCUCCAAUUGAUCAGGGAGACAAUCAAUCUCAACAUGAUCAAAAUCAACCAAGAACUUUAAGAGACUACAUGAAUCCAACGAGAAUCGAAGCACCGUCGUGUAUAGUAUUUCCUCCAAAAGCAUAUUGAUUCAACUUAAAACUCGGUAUUAUCCAACUUUUACCAACAUUUCAUGGUUUAAAAUAUGAGAAUUCAUGCUUGCAUCUAAGAGAUUUUGAAGAAGUGUUACACACAUACACAAACCAAAAUUGUAGCAUGAAUGUAAUUAGAUUAAAAUAUUUCCUUUUUCAUUAAAAGAUAAAGCUAAAACUUAGGUACAAAACCUUAGAUAUGGAUCAAUAAAAUCUUGGAAUAACAUUCAAGAACAAUUUUUUUUAAAAUUAUUUCCACCUUAUAAAACCAAUUCUUUUAAAAGGAAAAUCACUUCUUUCACUAAAAAAAAAUAGAGAAACAUUAUACCAAUGUUGGGAUAGAUUUAAAGAAUUGCUUAACAUAUGUCCACACCAUGGUUUUGAAACUUGGCGAUUGGUCACUUAUUUCUACGAGGGCUUAACACCACAAAGUAGACAAGUUGUAGAAAUGGUGUAAUGGUGAAUUUAGAGAUAAAAAUCCUGAAGAUGCACUAGCUUAACUUGACCAAUUAAUUGAAAAUGCACAACAUUGGGAUACUGUUGGAGCUUUUGAAUUGACAAAUAAAUCACAACCAUCUCUAUCAAGUGGAGGAAUCCAUAACCUAAGGGAAGAUCAUGAUUUACAAGUAAAAUUUGCAUCCCUAGUUAGAAAGGUUGAAGCUUUGGAGAGUAAAAAGAGGGAUCACGUAAAAUCUGUUCAAAAAAUUGCAUGUGAUGUUUAUAGUUCUAAUGAUCAUUUCACUCAAGAUUGUCCCACUCUGCCUGCACUUAAAGAAUGUUUGCAUGAUCAAGCUAAUGCCAUUAACACUUUUAAUAAGUCAAAUAUUUAUUCUCAAACUUAUAAUUCUGGUUAGAGAAAUCAUCCAAAUUUUAGUUUGAGGAUAAUACCACCUCCACAAAAUUUCCAAAAUGCUUAGCCUUAUGCACCUUAUGUUCCACCACCAUGAAAAAAUUUGGAAGAUAUAAUGCAUUCAUUCAUUAGGAAGCAAGAUGCUAUGAACAAUCAAAUUGCACAAACCUUUUAUUAUUUGAAAGAUACUCUUGCUAAAAUCACUUAUGCACUCACAAUUGAAGGAAAAGCAAAACUUCCAGCUCAACCACAACCAAAUCCUAAGAUUCAACAAAAUUUACCCAUAGAUCAAGUCAAGUCAGUUAUAACUCUUUGUGGUGGUAAGGUUAUUGAUAAACCUGUUUCUAAACCAUGUGAAGAUAAAGACAAUGAAAAUUCAAAGGGUAAGGAAGGGCUUAAUAAACUUACAACUAGUGAAGAAAUAAUUAUUGUUCCAUUUGAACCACCAUUUCUGUAUGCAUUGAAUAAACUAAGGAAAUCAAACAACUCUUCUGAAAUUUAUGAAAUCUUUAAGCAAUUGAAAGUUAACAUUCCUCUAUUAGAUGCAAUCAAGCAGGUACCUUCAUAUUCUAAAUUUUUAAAGGACUUAUGCACAGUCAAGAGGAAAUUAACGGUAAAAAAAAGUGCUUUCAUGGCUGAACAGGUAAGUACCAUUUUGUCUACUACUAAUAAGUUGAAAUACAAAGAUUCUGGUUGUCCUACUAUUUCUUGUAUUAUUGGAGAUCACAAAAUUGAGCAUUUAUUGUUGGAUCUUGGUGUUAGUGUUAAUUUGCUUCCAUAUUUAGUCUAUCUUCAACUUAAUCUAAGUGAGUUAAAAUCAACUUCAACUACACUUUUGCUUGCCAACAGAUCAAUUAAAGUACUAAAAGGAAUAUUGGAAGAUAUUUUUGUACAAGUUGAUAAAUUCAUAUACCUUGUAGAUUUUAUUGUCUUAGAAAUUGAACCUGUUUUGAAUAAUUAUAAACCAAUUCCUUUAAUUUUGGGUCGACUAUUUUUAGCAACUGUUAAUGCUUUGAUUAAUUAUAGGAAUGGUUUAAUAUAUUUGUUGUUUGGAAAUAUGACUCUGGAAUUGAAUGUUUUUAACAUGUGCAGGCAACCUAAUGAAGAAAAUGAGAAUAAAGAUGAGAUUGAUGAAUAAAAGGAAUUGCUUGAAUCUUGUAUAGAAGAGAAUAUUCAAAAAGGGAAUUUUUCUAAACUUAGCGAUAUUUGUUUGGUAAAUUCAAUUGAAUCAAAUAAGUAACUUGAACAUGAUACUUCUAAUAUAAAUUUGUUGUUUGAUUCUUAUCAGACUUUACAAAAUGAUUAUGAGAAACCAAAAUUUGAGGAGCUUAGAAUCAUUGAAAAGAUUGAACAACAAGAAGCCCCUAAAUUGGAAUUGAAACCUUUGCUGGAGGGAUUGAAGUAUGCUUAUCUUAGAGAAGAACAAACUUAUCUUAUUGUGAUUUCUUCCAUUCUAACAAGUGACCAAGAAGGUAAGUUACUAUCUGUUCUUAAAAAGCAUAAAAACGCAAUUGGAUGGACUUUAAAUGAUAUUAAAGAUAUUAAUCCUUUAAUUUGUACACAUAGAAUCAAUUUGAAAGAAAAUGCUAAAACAUGUCAAUAACCUCAAAGAAGAUUAAACCCACACAUGAAAGAAGUAGUAAAGACAUAAAAUCCUUAAUUUGCUUAAUACGAGAAUUAUCUACCCUAUCUCUAAUAGUAAAUGGGUAAGUCAUACACAAGUAGUGUCUAAAAAAUUUGGAAUCACUAUUGUUAAAAAUGAAAAUGGUUAAUUAAUUCCAACACGAAUUACAUCUAGUUGGCGCAUGUGCAUUGAUUAUAGAAAGUUAAAUGAAGCCACUAUAAAAUAUCAUUUUCCAUUACUAUUUCUUGACCAAAUCUCAUAAAGAGUAGCUGGACAUCCCUACUAUUGCUUUUUAGAUGGAUGUUCAAGUUAUUAUCAAAUUCUUAUAGCACUUGAAGACCAAGAAAGAACCACAUUUACAUAUCCCUUUGGAACAAUUGCAUUUAAAAAGAAUGUCAUUUGGACUUUAUAAUGCUCUUGCAAAAUUUCAAAGAUGUAUGCUAAGUAUUUUCAAUGAUAUGGUUGAACAUUGUUUAGAUGUCUUUAUGGAUAAUUUGACUGUGUUUGUGAAUUCUUUUGAUGUUUGCCUUAAUAAUUUGGAAAAAAAUUUAAAAAGAUGUGUUGAAAAAGAACUCAUGUUGAAUUGGGAAAAAUGCCAUUACGUGAUUACUUCUGGAAUUGUUUUGGGUCAUGUUGUAUCUGUUAAAUGAAUUUAAGUCGACAAAGUAAAAAUUGAAGUCAUAUCUAAAUUGCCAUUAUAAAAAAUAGUUAAAGAUGUGCAAUCCUUUUUAAGACAUGCAAGAUUUUAUAGGAGGUUUACAAAAAACUUUAGUGCCAUAUCUAAACCACUUUGUAACCUCUUAUUAAAAGAUGCACUAUUUGAAUGGAUUGAUGAUUGUCAAAAAUCUUUUGAGAAAAUAAUUUGUCUUUUAACAUCUGCACCCAUUAUGCAAUCUCCUAAUUGGUCUUUGCCUUUUGAAUUAAUUUGCGAUGCAAGUGAUUUUGUUGUUGGUGUUGUUUUAAGACAAAGAAUGGAUGGUAAGCCGUUUAUGAUUUAUUAUACGAGUAAGACUUUGGAUAGUACUCAAAUGAAUUAUUCGACAACUGAAAAAGAAUUACUUAAUUUGGUGUUUGCAUUGAACAAAUUUCGUUCAUUUUUGCUUGGUUUUAAAACUGUUGUUUUUACUGACCACAUUGCUGUGAGAUAUUUGAUGACUAAACAGGAUGUCAAACCAAGACUAAUUCGUUGGAUUUUGUUAUUUCAAGAAUUUGACCUCACCAUCAAAGAUAAAAAGGAUGCCGAAAAUGUUGUUGCUGAUCAUUUAUCAAGACUAAUAUCUAAAUUCUGCACUGACAUAACACCCAUCAAUGACUCCUUCCCGGAUGAAUUUUUAUUUUCUGUUACCCCAAUGCCAUAGUAUGUUAACAUUGUUAAUUUCCUUGUUACAGGUAAAAUGCUUUUGCAAUGGAAUACUCAAGAGAAAAAGAAAUUCUUUGUUGAAGUAAAGAAAUUUUACUGGGAUGAUCCUUACUUGUUCAAAUAUUACCUUGAUCAAAUCUUCCGACAUUGUAUUCCUGAUAAUGAGGUAAGUAGUGUCAUUAAUUUUUGUCAUUCUGAAACAUAUGGUGUGACACUUUUCUUUAAGAAAAACUAUAGCUAAAAUUUUGCAGUGUAGAUUUUAUUGGCCUACCAUAUUCAAAGACACAUAUCAAUUUUGCAAAACUUUAAAAAAUUGUCAAAAAUUGGGAUCAAUUACUAAAAGAACACAUGAUGCCCUUAAAUCCCAAACUUGAGAUUGAGAUAUCGACUGUUGGGGAAUUGAUUUCAUGGGUCCGUUUCCACCAUAUUUUGGAUUUGUGUACAUAUUAGUUGCAGUUGAUUAUGUCUCAAAAUGGAUUGAAGCAAUUUCUUGUCGAAAUAAUGAUAGCAAAAUUGUGGUUAAAUUUUUAAGAGAAAACAUUUUAAGUCGAUUUGGAAUCCUUUGAGCUAUUAUCAAUGAUAGAGGUAAGCAUUUUUGUAAUAAGUCAUUUGAGUCUUUAAUGAAAAAAAUAUGAAUCUCUAAUGAAAAAAAUAUGAAAUUACACAUGAAGUUGCUAUCUUUUAUCAUCCUCAAACAAAUGGUCAAGUUGAAUUAGCAUAUAAGGAGAUAAAACAAAUUUUAGAAAAGACAGUUAACCCAAACCACAAAGAUUUGUCUCUUUGACUGACUAAUGCACUAUGAGCCUACCGUACUGCAUUUAAGACGUCUUUAGGAAUGUCACCCUAUCGGCUAGUUUAUGGUAAACCUUGUGACUUACCUGUUGAACUUGAGCAUAAAUUAUUUUGGGCUAUUAAAUCUUUUAAUUCAAAUUUCGAUGAUGUUGGUGAUGUCAGAAAAUUGCAAUUGAAUGAACUUGAGAAAUUAAGGAAUGAUGCAUAUGAAAAUUCAAGAAUUAUUAAGAGAAGACCAAAAUUUUUUCAUGAUAAAAGAAUUUUUUGGAAAACAUUUGAGAUUGGUCAAAAAGUGUAGCUUUAUAAUUCUCGUCUUCAUUUGUUUCUAGUAAAGUUAAAGUCAAAAUGGAGUGGCCCAUUUGUUGUAGAAAAAUGUAUAUCCAUAUAGGACUGUAGAAACUAAGAAUCCAAAGAACAAUGUCACAUUUAAAGUUAAUGGAUAAAGAUUAAAACCAUAUCAGGAAUACCAACCACGUGAAGAAAACACCGAAAACAAUUUGAGUGACCCACCAAAUCUUGAUUAAGUUUUUAAUUAGUGAUUUAACUUUUCAUUGUUACUUUACCGUUUGAAUGGUUUGACUAUCUUGAAUGAUACGUGUUAUCAUGUUUCUUGCUUAAGUGUGUUUGAUAAUUGUGUUUUUUUCAUCAUAGUACAUCAUGAGCACCUCAAUAAAGAAGAUUAUAUUCACACAUCUUAAAAACUUAUUGCAAGUGAAAUUUCACCUGAGAGGCUUGAUACAAAGUUGUAAAUCACAUCCAAUUUGGAAUCUGCAACCAUCAACAUUAGUGUCCUACGUUUAGGAUUUAGAAAUACAACUCAGAGAAAUAGAGGGUGGUAUAUAUGACUUCCUAUUAGAGCUUGAAGUUCACUCAAUAAGAGGACGAAUUGAGUCCAUUUUCCUUUUUACAUUGUGUGCUUUCUUUUUGUUGUUCACUUUCACAUUUGAUUUGAUUCUUUUCAUUUUGGCAUGUUUUGAUUUAUUUUCUCGUAUAAAUGGCGGAUAACGGUAGUCCAUGACUUCUUAAGUCGGUAUCCUCAGCUUCCCACAAUAACUGAGACCCCAAAAUUAGUUGUGGAAGAAAUACAACAUAAAUUGCAUAAGCGUUUUCCUUCUCUCCUUCAAAAUGCCCUCAAGAAAAUUUACAAAGCUCGUUGUGAACGAUUGUGUUUAUUAAUGGUCAAUGGAAUUUCGGUUAAUAUUUGUUGGUUAAUUGAAGCAAAGGUCUGAUUAGCUAGUGAGUUUCUUGAUCCAUUUAUUUCUUACAUGCCUGGUUUUGGUAAAAGCACAUUUGCUAAAAAAAGGAGAGCUAAAAGCUUGGCUUAGAAUGUCAUAACUGUGUAAGACGUAGUUGCAAAUGAGAAAUUUGUAAAUCUUUAGGAAUGAUCUCUAAUAAUCGAGAAGAUAGAAUUAAGUUCGUUAAAGAUGACCUGAGUAAAGAAUCAUUGGAUAAUAUCUUACGAUCUCUUGAGACGCAUCGAAGCGGACAUGUGCAAUAUGAGAUUCAUAGGUUAUGAUGACUAUUACAAAAAGAAAGCGCACAGUUUAGUCUUAGGAAUCUAACUCAGAAAGACCAUAUUUGCCAGUUUAUAAGAAAAUUGGAUGGGAAUUCGAUCCUUGACUCACAGAGGACGUUCAAGCCGUUAUCGGACGUAAAACCAGAGGAAGAUGUGAGCUACAAUCACAACUACCAGUAAAUAUCCUUUUUAUUUUGUUGUUCUUUUAUCAUUUGUAUUAUUGCGUUUAGUAGUGUGAUUUUGUAUUUAAUCAAUUUUUUCACUAUUUGCUUUUCUUUUAUUGUUUGCUUUUGAAUUAUUGAGACUUGAGCUUUACGCGUCAUUUGAAAAAUACGGCAACCCAUUUAUAGUUGUUUCUCAUUUUGUUUGUCACUAAGAUCUUUAAAUAUGAGCUCUUUUUCCAAACACUCAUAACUUGUUUUUGAAGAUUAUUCCAAUGGCAACAUAUUCGAGUAGACAAUUCAAAAAUAUUUGUUUGCUUUUCGGAUUUCAUUAUGGAAAAUACAAGGAAUUCGUUCAAGCAGUUGUAGAUCUUGGUCGUGUCAUAGGUAAGAGGAAACUACACCUUGUAUAUAGAGGAGGUGAUCGCGGGUUAUCAAAAUUUGUCUCAGAAGCUAUUUUUAUUAAAGGAAACUAGGUGCUAGGUAUCAUUCUACAAGCCCUAAAACCUUUGAGAUGCAUGUCCGACCUACCAAUUGGAGAAAAGUUAGUUGUCUCAAAUAUGCAAUAGCGAAUAUCGGAGAUGUUAAAUCAUGCUGACGCUUUCAUUUUCUUGCCAGGAGAUCUUGCAACUUUAGAGGCACUGAUUACAUUUGCAUCUUGGGCCUAUUUGAACAUCCAUAAAAAAAACCCAUCGGUUUGCUAAAUGUUAAUAAUUUUUAUGAUGGCUUGCUCACAUUCAUUAAUCAUGCAAUUAAGAAUAAUUUUAUUCCAGUCUCCGUGAAAAAAACUCUUUGUUUGUGCUUCUACUGCUAAUGAGUUACUUGAUCUUUUACAAGCUUACAAACCAUAGCCAUAUCCUACGACCUUAGCAUUGGAAUGUUGACUAAUGAUGGUAACCCUAGCCUUAGUAAGAAGUACAAGUUGGACUUAACUCUUUAGUUGUAAUUAUCUUCUUGGAGCGAUUAGGUAAUGUCUUCUAAACUCUACUUCUUUCCUUUAAGCUAUUGAGGAGAAUGUCUUGUUCUAGUUGGGAGGUGGGGAAUAGUUGACAGUUGUGGAAUAUCUCAAAUCCUAGUAAUGUUUUAUGUCGAAGAUGGCUGAGUAUGGGUGUAGUGACUCUAGAAAUGUAUCUUCUAUUACUUGUUCAGGUGUGAUUUUUCUUAUUUCUUAUUUUAUUAUUUAUGUUUUCUUUAUCUUUUUUGCCUUUUUGCAUGCAUAUCUUUAAAUCAUGAAUAAUGUUUUGAUUAGGUUGGGGGAGGAGAUAGUUGGCAUAAAUUAUAAAUAGGUGUGUUUAUUUAUUAUUUAAAAAAAAACCCAGAAAAGCCAAAAACAAGAUUUUUUUUCUAGGAUGGAUGUGUAAAGUGUUACGACUUUUGAGAUGCAUCCUAAUAGUUUCGUUGUAUUAUAUUUGCAUUUUAAAAUUCAUAAUAAGUUGUUUUUGUUCCAUUUUCUUUGAAUUACUCAAAUUUGUGAACUCUCCAUUUGGUUAUUAAGUCAUUUUGUUGUUUACUCAUUUAACAGGUAUUAUUAAAUCAUUCUUUACACACACACACACUAUGACCCAUACUAGUGGGUUUUAAGUUAAAAAUUUUGCAGCAUUUAGUUCUUUUGAUUUAUUAUGGAUAAUAUCUAAGGUAGUAGAAAGUGUAUUUUGCAGCAUUUAAUUUUGUUAUAUGUAGAACCCGAGUAAUUAAGUUAGAGGUGUCUCAACACCUAGUGCUCUAAGCCCAACUGGUCUGGGAGUAACUGGCCUAAAGCUGGGUACAUGGGUUAAAAAUAUUUAAAUAAUCUAUUACUUAAAGAUAGAAUUUCUAAUGAGUUUUAGAACGAAAAUGUUGUUUUCUUUUAAUGAAGCCCCAUAAGUAUUGUGUUAAUCACAUAAGCACAAAAGAAGAUUUAUAAUAUUCUGAAUAAUGAGUGAAUGACAAAGAGUUGGAAAAAUUUGAGAGAGUUUAUUUAUUUGGUAGUUUAGAGGAUAGAUGCACAACUAUUAAGUUGCAUGUGAAUUUUGUAAAUCAUAAUUUAAUAUUACCCUUUAAUUGCUAGGGGCUAGCAAUAAGCUAGUUGAGGGGUGUGAUUAUUGUUAAAAAUUGUAUGUUUAUUAAGGGGUAAAAAUGUUAUUUUGUGCUUAAAAUAUAAUUUACAUUUUUAAUUAUGUAACAUAUUAUGAAUUUCUAAUUAUUUUUCGAAAUAUUUGAUUUUAUGUAUUUUGUGUAUUUAUUAGGUAAAAAUAAUAAUUUCAUACAAUUUGAGGCUACAAACAAAUGUAUGGAUGUCAAAUUUAGAUUCUAGAAGUUCGAGAAAUUAGAUCAUUGUCGAGGAGGAUUCGUGACUUUUGUUGUAAAUUUAUUAGUUUUUACCACGGUAAAUGUAGUAAUUGUGAAAUUAUAAGUUUUUACUAUAUUAGGUGUGGAAUUGUUAGUGAAAUGUGUUGGAUGUACUUGAGUGAAUUAAGUUAGGUUUAUGUUUUGUUAAUAGGACAAAUAUAUGGUUAAGAUGUAAUUAACUUUAUUUAUUUGUGUGGUGUGAAUUAAUCAUGUAUUAAUAUAAAUAGAGAGGGGGAGAACACACCUCUCUACACUUUUUCUUCUCUUCUUUCCCUUCAAAUUCUUCUUCUCAUCUCUCUUUGUAAUAUAUUUUCAAUAAAUAAAACUAGUUUUAUUUCCAAUUUUCAAAUACCUUUUUUUUAAUUAUGUAUUUUUCAAUUUUAAUAAUUCCUUUUAUUUCAAAUAGCUAAAUAUUAAUAGUUAGGGGAAGGUGAAACUCUUAGUGAAAAAAUAUGAUUUAAACAAAUUUUAUUUUUAAUUAUAUAAAUUAAAUUAUUUUCCAUAUAAUUUUAUCCAUAUUUUAUAUUUUGAAAUUUUGAUUUAUUGUAGACAAACAUGGGGUUUCGCACAAUGAAUUCUUAAUAUCUUAGUAUAAAGUAUGGUAAAAUGGUAUUUUGACUUAUUGUAGAUAAAUUAAAUUUUGGCACACUAAGUACUUAAUCCAUAAUAAAAUUAUUGUGAAAAUAAUUAUAAUUUAUACAAUUAAUCAUUUGGGCAAUAAACUAAAAAUAAAAAGAAUUUAUUAAAUUGUAUUUGUUACUAAGAGUGGAUCAUAACCCUAACUAAUUUAAUUUUAUAAUUUUGCUCAAAUUAAAUUGCAUAUAUUAAAUUUUAUUUUCAUUGUUUUCGAUAAACUUAAAUAAACAAAUUAAAUAUUUUCUCUGUGGACCGACUUUGGACUCACCGAUCUAUAGUAUAACUAGCCACUUUUAUACUUGAGAGUAAAUUAAACAUUUUUUAGUCGUAUCAAAGUUCUAGGCCAUUUUUAUUGAUGCCUUGGAACCUCGUGUUGCAAUGUUCGAAACUUCAUUAUUUGACGCACAGGAAACCCUCGAAAUUUUGAAAGAAAGGGUUGAUAGUCUAAAGGGUGAGUCUAUCAACUUUACAGUAGCCACCAAGGCCUCAUCCAAGACUAAGCCAACACCGUUCGAGGGGAGUUUCGAGCAUUCUAUGAUGAGUUGCUUAAAGUCAUAGCUUUGUGUAAAAUCGAGGCACAUGCGAUUCAUUAAAAGGUGGAGGAAGUCUACUCUGAUUGGGCCGGUUAUACGGGUACACUCACAUAUAGUAUUGCUUUCGCAAGCUCGAGUGAUGCACACUAAAUCAAUGUGCCAAAGCCUGAUACCUACGAUGGAACUCAGAAUAACAUUAUCGAGGACAACUUUUUCUUCAGGCUAGAAUAGUACUUUGUUGCCGUUGGUUUGUAAGAUGAGGCAUUGAAAGUAAGCAUGACACCUACAUAUCUUUAAGGUUACUUAACUAUAGUGGCGAUGGAAGCAUAGAGAAAUAGGCAAAGGCAUCUACACUAUAGACAUGGGCAAAUUUCAAGUGAAAACCCCAAAAAUAAUUUUCCGUAAGCAAUGCCGAAAAAGGGCAAGAGUGUGUUUAUGUUGCCUCGAGCAAACGAGUGGCAUCUAAGAUUACAUUAACGAGUUCGUUAACCUUAUGCUUGAGAUUAGCCUCCUAGCGGUAAGAGCAGGCAAAACAAAUCAGAUAGAAAGAAAAAAGCACCCCGACCUCGAAGCCCAUAAUUUAUAUACAACAGCCCACGUAAAGUACGCAGCCGUUGAAAAAGAAAUCGUUUAAAACUCAAUACCCUUGCUGCUCAGCUCAAGGGCAACUCUACAUUGCCAGCAAAGGAACCCUGAUCUAUUAUGGGUUCCCUUUAACAUUUUGGCGCUCUGAAGAGCCAACCGCUAACAGCUGUUCCAGCAAAGGAAUGGCUCAUAUACGUAAGUGCAUCCAUUAAUAGCCAAAUUGUUCGUGCGCUGCUAGACACAAGAACAACACACAACUUUGUAUCGAAAGAUGAGGCCAAUUGUUAAGGCCUCAAGGUAACUAAGGAAAAAGGCACCAUGAAAGUGGUAAUCUCACUUGCCAAGCCCAUUAUGGGCACCGUACAAAGUUAUAUAUGUAAUGCUUCGAACGUGGAGUGGAACGCUCAAUUUCUCCAUCGCGCCCAUGGAUGACUUCAAGAUAGUCCUUGGCAUGGAAUUCUUCAAUCAAAUCCAUGCCUUUCCAUUGCUAGCCAUAAACUAUCUAAGAAUUUUCAACAAAAGGAAGGCAUGCACUAUUCCUGUGGAGUGCGUCAAGUCCAAAAAGAAGAUGCUCUCGGCAAUGCAAUUUAAGAAUCCUUUCAAGAAAGAACCAUGUUUCUUAGGCUCUAUCCAGGAGCUUAAUGAAGUGGAAGAUUUUGGAAAUGCUCCAAACUAAGUCCUUCAAUAAGUACAAGUUAUCCUCGAUUUGUUUAAGGAUGUUAUGCCUUCCAAGCUUUUGAAGAAGCUCCCACUUAAACAAGAGAUAGAUCACGAGAUCAAGUUGGAACAAGGUGCCAAAACUCUAGCACUAGCUCCUAAUUGUAUGGCAUCACUAGAACUCGAAGAGCCCCAAAAAACGCUUAGUGAUUUGUUGGAUGCUGCCUACAUUUGCCCGUCUAAAUCUUCAUUCGAUGCACCUAUCUUAUUAAAAAAAAGUAAGGAUUGCUUUACGAAUAUGCAUCGACUAUAGAGUGCUAAUAAGAUCAUUGUCAAGAACAUGUAGCUGAUUCCCUUGAUAGCGGAUUUUUUUGACCAACUUGGCGAAGUGCAAUAUUUCACCAAGCUUGACUUGCGCUUCAAGUACUAUUAGGUUUGCGUCACCAAGGGAGAUGAACUAAAUACGAAAUGUGUCACUAGGAACAUAUCUUUCAAAUUCUUUGUUAUAUUGUUCGUCCUCACCAAUGUACCAGCCACGUUUUGCACUCUUGUAAAAUAAAGUCCUCCAACCGUUCCUCUACAACUUCGUUAUGGUAUACUUGGACAAUAUUGUGGUAUGCGGCACUACAGCCAAGGAAGAUGGCCAACAUUUAUGAUAAGUUUUCCAAGUAUUAUGAAAGAAUAAACUCUACCUCAAAAUGAAAGAGUGCUCUUUUACUUAACGAGAAAUAUAGUUCCUAGUGUACAAAAUAAUAAACGAUAAGCUAUUGAUGGAGAACUUUAAGAUGAAGGUCAUUCUCUAGUGGGAACCACCUAUUCAACUAAGGCGACACCUUUGAUAGAUCUACAAAUGAAGAAUCUAACGUGUUAUUGAUCCAAAGAAUGCAAGUAUGCACUCGAAGAUAUGAAAAAGGCAAUAUCUAAGGAACUUGUCCUUGUUCUUCUGAACCACACGAAACCCUUCGAAGUUUAAACGAAUGUUUUCAACUUCGCUAUUGGUGGAGUCCUUAUACUAUACAAAAAAAGGAAAUGAUGGUCAUCAUCCAUUGUUUGUGAGUGUAACAACACUACUUGCUUAAUGGAUACUUCACGAUCGACGAAGAAUGUAUCAACGAACUAUUUUUAAAUGCAAAAGAAGUUGAACCCAAGCAAGCAAGGUAGCAAGAUUUUCUUGUGGAUUUUGAUUAUCGGCUCAAAUACAAACUAGAAAAAGCCAAUGUCAUCAUAUAUGCUCUAAGUCGCAAGGCACAAUUGGAAUUACUAAGCAUGAGCUAGUCAAACUCCGACCUUCUCUAAUGCAUCAAAGAAUACCUUCAACAAUAUUUUUAGCUAAAUACCUCUUACAAAAAGUUCUUGAGGGUAAAAUAUGGUAGUUUUGAUGAAAAGAAGGCAACCUCCUUACUGAAAGAGACUGGCCAUUAGUGUUUCAGUAGGAAAACUUGUGAAGAGAAGUUAUCAAGGAGUGCCAUGACUUAAAAUAUGCUGGCCCCCCUAAAGUUGACUACACUAGUCCAAGCUUCAUAUUUUUAGCCAUACAUGUGACGUCAUCGAUGCAUACUUGCGGAUUUGUCUUAUUUGCCAAUAAGAUAAAGUGGAUCACUACCCUUUAUCAGAAUUAUUAGAGCUUUUGCCACUCAUGCCAAGGCCAUGGGAAAGUGUAUCCAUAUACUUCAUUAUAGCCUUGCCCAAGUCUAAUAGGUACGGAAACAUCAUGGUAGUAGUCAAUAACUACAACAAGUAUGCGACCUUCAUCACUAUACCUGCUAAUUGUAAAACUUAUGAAGUCGCUCUUUUUUCAUUGAGCACAUCGUGAAGCUAUGGGGAGUUUUGAAGAACAUAGUGAAUGAUCAAGACCUUUAAUCCACUAAUUGCUUUUAGACAAGGCACUUCAAAUUAUUGGAAAACGAACUCAAGUUCUCAAUGAGUUUCCACCCGCAAACUGAUGAGUAGAACGAGUGCAUCAAUGGCCUUCACAAGAUGUAUUUAGGUAUUACAUGUGCACUAAUAAUCAAGAUUGGGUGAAGCUACUAGACUUGGUCUAAUUCUUGUACAACCUUCAAUGGAGCAAAGCAACCAAUAAAAGUCCAUUCGAAAUCAUCAUGGGAUUUCAGCCAUGAUCCCUAACGCCAUAGCCUCGACAUAUUAAGGAAAACGCCCUACGGCUUAAAAGCUCACUUAAGAUAACAUAAAGAAGUGGAUUUUACGCGAGCUUAUCUCGAUAAAGCUGCAAGAUAUGAAAAAAUAUGCAAACACAACGAGACACCACAUCAGGUAUAAAAAAAGAGAUCAAGUCAUGAUCAAGCUUCUAGGCCAAAAGUUUAAGACUUUGCGCAAAGUUUCUCAAUUGUUUGACGUGUGGGCAACAUUUUGUACCAGCUCCAACUUAUGCCAAAACUCAAGAUUCAUCUGGUCUUCCAUGUAAGCCUUCUUAAGCCAUACCAUGGAGAUGUAGCUAACCUACGUCAUAGUGAAUCAAGACGUGCCCCCAGCAGCCGUUGUCGCAAUGUUUAACAAAGAUGUGGAGUACAUUCAUGCCGAUCGAGUCAUUUGAAGAAAAGGCAUACCAGCUUACAAUAAGUACUUGGUGAAGUGAAAAUCCCCAAUAGUGAAGUCAGUUGGAAUGCGAAGAGAAUCUAUGGCAAUUCGCGGAGCACAUUCAAAGGUUCAAGCACGAAAUUGCAACAAGGAUGCCGUGAGCAUAGGUGGAGAAAGUUGCAAUAGGCCACCCCAAAUUCCAACCCAAACACUCAAGAUUCUAGGCACAAGAGCCUAAAUCCAAGUCAAUGUGUGCCCAAUUCUAGAAUUCUCCAAUAAAACUUUAGCACGUCUCUCUUGUAUAUAUCUAGAACCUUCCACACAUGUGCAUGCUUAGAAAUAUCUAGAUUUUUGUAGCAAGUUACGCAAGUUGUAUAGAAUUCUCUAGAAUUGGCAAGUCUCCCUUAUAAGUAGGGCAUGGCACUUGUCAUUUUAGACGCAUAACUCAACAAGCAACUCGAGCAUACUUGUGAAGCUCUCAAGCUUUCUUUUAUAAGCUCUUUCAGGUAAUAAAUUUUUGCUUUCAUUAUAUUGCUCUCUCUUAUUUCUAUCUUUUUGUAAGCGUUUUUGUUAUCUAAUUUGAGGAGUUUGAUAAAUUUACCUAACGAUUUUUGGUGCAGUUGUCUAAGUGCCUCAUGGUUUUACUGCCAAAAUUCUAAUCCUGUUAGACAUGGACACUUAAAUAACUUUUUUCAUACAACACUAUUUUGGGCAUUAAACUUUAAUCGGAGAGUUUGAACUAAAAUGAUUUCCUAUUUUCAUGAACAUUUUCAAUAGUUAAAUGAUUAAUACUUAUAUCGUUUUUCUUAGUAAUCAAUUAAUUCUCAGAACAUUUGAAUAAGUGUUAUCUUUAAGCUGGCAGUAUGUGUUCUUUCUAGAUNNNNNNNNNNNNNNNNNNNNNNNNNNNNNNNNNNNNNNNNNNNNNNNNNNNNNNNNNNNNNNNNNNNNNNNNNNNNNNNNNNNNNNNNNNNNNNNNNNNNCUUUCCAUUCAUUUCUUCCACAGCAUUGUUUCAUAUUUCCACUUUUGUUAUCAUUAUUUCACACAGACAGCGAUGGGAAUUAAAUAAUGUUUCUUUCCAGUCUCAUCCACCCGGAGUGCUUGUGUCUAUUUUUAACAAUAUCACUCAAAAUUAAGAUUUAAGAUUAGAAAGCGAGGAAAAAGAGAAAGGAGCCAUGUUUCUAAUCACUAGCAUAUUUUCCCCAUUACCUCCUUCAUUGUUUAUCAAAACAAUGUGUGUGGUGAAUGUUGUAACAAUGGCAAAUCUAGGCUACUCAGAAAUCAAGGGAAAGCACUUGAAAUAUUCAAAGUUUUGGAACUUCAACUCUGACAAAUCUUCAAACAACAAGGAGAUUAAACUUUCAGCCAAAACCGGCAUGCUUUUUCUUUAUACGCCAUCGUUUCUUGCGGGUCUUGCUUCAUUUUGGCUUUUCCCUCAUGAGGGCUUCCGAUUUAUGUUGCUCACUUCUGCUCUAACUGUUCAUUUCUUCAAAAGAAUCGUUGAGGUAAUGCAUCCGCAUGCUGUUAAUCAAAUUUCUUCUUGAAUUCAUAAGCAUGCUCCUUUAAUUGUUAAGGUUUGAAUCAAUUACCUAAUUAGAUCUUUUAUUUUAAAAGAUCUAUAUCGCUUGAUUAUUCUCUACUUUUUCAUAUGCUGCAUUUUAGAUUUUUUGAAUUGUUAAGUGAUUUUAACAAAACAAAAUUGUUUAAUUAACUUUAAAGAGUUAGAACUAACAACAAUAAAAAUAAUGAAGGAGACAUAUUGAGUAAUUUUUUAAAAUAUAAGGCUAACUAGAUUGGUAAUUGGACCAAGUUUUUUUCUGUUGGCCUCAAAUUUAAAUACUAAAAGAGGUAGGGAGCUAUAAAAUUAAGGGAGACUGCUAAUUUUCUUAUUAUUGAAAUCAAUAUAUAAUACUUAUCCUUUAUUGUUUUCAUAAUAGCUAAAAACAUAAUUUUAUAGCAUUACCCUUAUUUUCUAUAUAUUUUUAUUCUUAUUUACUGUAAAUUAAAUAAAUCAUAUGAAUAAAAAUUAGAACAAACAAGUUAAGUACUAAAAACAAGAAAUAUAUGUUUUGAUGUGAAUAAAAACUUAGUAAUAAGAUAUUUUUCUUGUAUUUUUAUUAUUUUAUAAAUACAAGAAAAAUAUCUUAUUAAUUCUUUUCAUCUCAAAACAUAUUUAUUAUUUUUAAUACUUAGUUUUUUAUUUUAAUUUUCAUUUACAUGAUUUAUUUAAUUUAUAAUAAAUACAAAUAAAAGCAUAUUUGAAAAUAAUGGUGAUACUGUAAAAUUAUACUGGCAGGGUUAUUGACUAUUAUGAAAACAGUAAAGGGAUAAGUGAUAUAUAUUGAUUUUAGUAAGGGGAAUUGAUAGUCUUCCCAAAAUGAAUUUAGGUUUUAUCCAUCCUUUUACCUUUUGAAGAAACAAUAGUGUAGCUGACCUAAAUACCAGUGACUAAAGGAAAGAUGCCCAUAUAAAAGGAUAGAUAUAUAAAAUCUAAACAAAUAAAAAAUAAAGCUAUAUAUAUAUAUAUAUUCUAAAAAAUAAAAAUAAUUUUUUUUUACUGUAUUUUACAGGUGUUGUUCAUUCAUAAAUAUAGUAGCGGGAUGGUUCUUGAUUCUGCAAUCGUUAUCAGUCUAAGUUAUUUGAUAAGCACCGCAGCAAUGAUAUAUGUUCAAAGUGAAGGAUUAGGAGAGCCAACUAUUGAUUUGAAGUUUUUGGGGAUGAUUCUAUUUUUGUUGGGAAUAAGCGGCAAUUUCUACCACCACAAUCUGCUUUCAAAAAUGAGAAGAAACGGUGAAAAAGAAUACAAGAUUCCCACGAGUGGUUUAUUUGAUAAAGUUGUAUGCCCCCAUUACUUGUUUGAGAUAUUAGGGUUUUGGGGCAUCUUUUUCAUUGCUCAAACUCUGUAUGCAUUUUGCUAUGCUAUAGGUGUAACUUUUUACUUAAUGGGAAGAAGCUAUGCAACUAGGGCAUGGUAUCUUUCCAAAUUUGAAGACUUCCCCAAACAUGUCAACUCCAUUUUUCCAUAUAUUUUUUAGAAAGGAAAGAAAUUAAUUCCAAUAAAAAUUGAAUUUUUCUGAGUUGCAAAGACGAUGUUAUCAACUUAUUUUCUUCUUUUCCUGCCAAAGCCAAAGGUUCUAUAUAGAAAACUUGUUGGGCUGCUUUGCUUAAUUAUUCACUUAAUUUGGCAACCAAACUGUUUUAAUGAUGCUCAGAUUUUUGCCAUCAUUUCUGUGAUUAGGUGGUUUUUGCAAAAGCUUGGCACUCGGAUUUAUUGUCCUUGACUUGAUUGUUGUAGCGAUGUGCCUUAAAAUAAUUCUAUCGCACUUGCUUAGGGUAUUAAAGUUUAUGAAAUAAUUAAAGGUAGGUCUUCUUCACAUGCUUAAAUAUUUUACUUCUAAUUUUAAAGAAAACAAUAAAGUUUUAUAUCUAUAUAUAUAUAUUGUUUGGGAAGGAAAUAUGAGGCUAAUGAUGAAGCGCCACGUGUCGAUAUUUAAGAGAUUAAUUUAUUUCGGAUACCUUAGGUACCUCGGGUACCCUAGGUACCCCGGCUACCCUAAGGACUCUGGGGGUACCUCAGGUACACCAUGAGAGGAUACAAAAAUCUUCGUAAAUAUGUGAAGGAAUAUGUGGGCCCUGAAUCUCAAAAAGAUCGGUUUGAUACGUGUCGAAAAAUAAGGAAAUCUUGUGCCGCGAAAGAGGAGACAGCCGCCUGUCACGCCAGCGAAUCCGCCAAAAGUGUGAUAUUGUGACAGUUGGGACCACCAGCUUUUCCUGCUAUACCUGCAAAAUUACAACGGAAUUGCAGAGGUACGCGGGACCACUCCACUACGCCCAACACGUGAAUAUGCCACAUACUUGCUCUCCACUGAUGUUUUUGAAACGUCUAAGCCGCCUUACGCAUAAAAAUAAGAAUAUUCCUGACAUGACAGCAGGGAACGCCACUAAAAUAGCGCCAGGUGGCACGGCGACCGGGGUACACCAUAUAAAUACUCAGGUUUAAUUUUUAUCAAGGAGGGGAACACACUCACCAAAAAAAACGAAGGUUUCUUCAACCUCAAAAUCUCCAUUACCGAGAGCUUGCAAGCUCUCUAACCUGAGAUAACCCAACUCUGACUUGAGCGUCGGAGUGUGGUCGCCGGCCACCCCCGGCUCCACCUUUGACAUCUUUUUGGUUGUUUCGCAGGUUUAAGGCGAGUUUCACCAGCCCUCCGCACCUGAAGUCAGACCCCCUCCAUAUCCACCGUCAUCUCAAUCCUCCUUCACUCCACAAAAAUCCCAAACAGCCCGCACGUGCCGAACAAGCGAGGUACCCCGCUCCCCGACAAAAAUAUAAAUUUAUUGCUCUUGCGUUGGUUUUGUGGUUUUUUAUUCAUUAACCCAAAAUCAGCCGAAAACAAUUGGCGCCGUCUGUGGGGAUACGAGCAAAAAGCUUCCACACAGUGCUAAGCUUGUCGGUACGUGUGCUUGCACAACCAUGGCACCCGACGUACCCGCUGAUAACCAAAUGUUAGGUCAUGAUGGAGCAGAGGACCACGGCGGUGAUGAGAGGGGUGACUCG